UGGAAGUGUGACUCUAUCAGUGUGCACGGUAUAAUAUAUUAAUAUCUAGUAUGCAAACGCAUACAUUAUUAGAUAUAUGUAUAAAGACCUUUGCAGGAGCCGUUUAAACGAUAAUGCUGUAUACUAAUUCUCAGUCAACUUUAGAAUUAAAAUUCCUUAUUGAUUUUGUACACACUCAUACCGCGUAUACGGUGUAGCUGUAGAAUUUAAUGCUUAUAUAUGACAACACGUUUAAUUGGGUGUGUUAACAUAACGAUAGCGUUUUUGUGACAUUUACAUAGGUACAUGUAUUUACGUAUAGGAAAAAACCUCGAG